CGCGGGGGCAACCCUGGCGGCGAGCGGCGAACGGGUGAGUAAUGCAUCGGAACGUGUCCCGUAAUGGGGGAUAACGCCGCGAAAGCGGCGCUAAUACCGCAUACGCUCUACGGAGGAAAGUGGGGGAUCUGCAAGGACCUCACGUUAGGGGAGCGGCCGAUGUCCGAUUAGCUAGUUGGUGGGGUAACGGCCUACCAAGGCGACGAUCGGUAGCUGGUCUGAGAGGAUGAUCAGCCACACUGGGACUGAGACACGGCCCAGACUCCUACGGGAGGCAGCAGUGGGGAAUUUUGGACAAUGGGGGCAACCCUGAUCCAGCCAUGCCGCGUGCGGGAAGAAGGCCUUCGGGUUGUAAACCGCUUUUAGCCGGGAAGAAAAGGCGCGAGUUAAUACCUUGCGUUUUUGACGGUACCGGCGGAAUAAGCACCGGCUAACUACGUGCCAGCAGCCGCGGUAAUACGUAGGGUGCGAGCGUUAAUCGGAAUUACUGGGCGUAAAGCGUGCGCAGGCGGUUCGUUGUGUCGGUGGUGAAAUCCCCGGGCUUAACCUGGGAAUGGCCAUGGAAACUGGCGAACUGGAGUGCGGCAGAGGGGGGUGGAAUUCCGCGUGUAGCAGUGAAAUGCGUAGAGAUGCGGAGGAACACCGAUGGCGAAGGCAGCCCCCUGGGCUAGCACUGACGCUCAGGCACGAAAGCGUGGGGAGCAAACAGGAUAGAUACCCUGGUAGUCCACGCCCUAAACCAUGUCAACUGGGUGUUCGGGAAGCGAUUUCUGAGUACCGUAGCUAACGCGUGAAGUUGACCGCCUGGGGAGUAC
rnacentral:rRNA from 1 species